rnacentral:tRNA from 1 species
GCUGAUAUGGCUCUAGUUGGUAGAGCGCACCCUUGGUAAGGGUGAGGUCCCCAGUUCGACUCUGGGUAUCAGCACCA